rnacentral:sRNA from 1 species
AUGGAUAUUUUAAACCAUAUUUAUGACUACGUCGCACAAUUGUUAAAAGUUUGGCGGUUUAAUUGAAAAAACAUAGGCCUUUUUUUAGGGUUUAAUUGGAAAAGAGUCCAGACGCUACCCACAAAUCUAUCUCUUCCCUCCGGCUCACUCGGUCUCUCUCCCCUCUCGCUCAUCUCGCCCUCUCUCUUACCCUGUCUCGCUCACGCUUAGAGCCGAGUGCUUCUCCUGCUUUUUUUCCAUAGCACAAGCUCACAAUCUCCCCUCUCCUCACCCAGACGACGUCGUUUGCUUCGGUUUCCUCCGAAGAACAACUUGGAGUUGAGAGUCCUUUCUCGUUCUCACAGUUGGCUCUACGUGCGACUAUGUCUGAGCGAUGAGUAGUCGAGCAGUGGAAGACGACGCACUGGCCAAAGCCGCAAGAGCUGCCGAAGCUCUUUACCUCCUCUGAGACACCUACUUUCCAGCCGACCCGGAUGACAAAAUCUCCAGAUUAAACGCCGAUUCCGAUCUUGCCCUCAACCUCCUCGAUUCCAUACCUCUUGAGCAAAGAAAACAUCCGGCUUAACAUGCGAAAUACGAAUAUCUGAGAGGAAAGAUACUAGAUGUUUUACCGAAUUAUAGAAAAGAAGUAGAGGAUCAUCUAUCAAAAGCUGUAACCGCAUUUGGAAGAAGGGAGAUCUAUCUUCAGCCAAGAACUGCUUUAAUCUUGCCCUAAGCAAGGUACCGUCAAUGAGGCAGGACAAAAGCAUUCAACAUGCCAAGGAAGCCAUAACUCUUGAUGUCAAGGAUGGCAAUUCAUGGUACAAUCUUGGAAAUGCAUGUCUUACAAGAUUCUUUGUGACUGGAGCUUGGGACCAUUCCAAACUUCUGCAAUCUUUGAAGGCAUACCAAAAUGCAAUAAGUGCUUAAAGUAAACAGAUAUCUGGAAAACUAUGAAAGGGCCCUUUCUGGAUUUGAAGAUGCUGCUUUAAAGGAUCCUGGUCUCAAUGCUACAGAGGAGGUUUAAAAGAUUGUUAGCCUUCUUGACAAGCUGGAUAAUCUGUUUUCGGCCCAGGAAGCAGUAGCUCAGGAAGCGAGAUUGCAACCUAGUUUUCGGCCCAGGACGAGCAGAUGAGUAUGAUCUUACAGGCCUUACAGAUGUCUGGCCUCCAAAUCCCAAUGUCAGCAUCUGAUCUUGCUCCACCUUUGACCUCCCAACCACUUCGCCCAGCCAAUACUUAGUAGCCUGAUGCAUCGAG